GCCGGGGUGGCGGAAUCGGUAUACGCAGGGGACUUAAAAUCCUCGGUCCGGAGACGGACACGCGGGUUCGACUCCCGCCCCCGGCACCA
rnacentral:tRNA from 1 species